rnacentral:rRNA from 1 species
UACCAGCACCCCGAGUGGUCGGGACGUUUAUUGGGCCUAAAGCAUCCGUAGCCGGUUCUACAAGUCUUCCGUUAAAUCCAACUGCUUAACAGGUGGGCUGCGGAAGAUACUAUGGAGCUAGGAGGCGGGAGAGGCAAGCGGUACUCGAUGGGUAGGGGUAAAAUCCGUUGAUCCAUUGAAGACCACCAGUGGCGAAGGCGGCUUGCCAGAACGCGCUCGACGGUGAGGGAUGAAAGCUGGGGGAGCAAACGGG